UCAGUGGCCUAGUGGUUAGAGCAUCUGCCUGGGAUUCAGGAGGUCGUGGGUUCGAUCCCUGGGAAAGUCGUAUCAA